AAUUCAUUCUUUUUUUUAAGGAUGUUGUUUUUAUGGCAAUUGAUGGCAUAAUCAUAUGUUUACAUGGCUUUUGAUGCAGAUGCAUGGCUUUUCAUGCUGAAAUGAGUGUCAAAUCCAAUGACAAUCCCCAUGGCAUACAUGUGAAUGGAACACAACAUCUAUAUGAGGAUUUACAGUACAUGAAGAUUUUCAUCUGGAUUUGCUGAUUUGCUAUGGAUUUCAUUCUUUCAACUGCAAAUGUUGAAUUCCAACAUAAGCCUGUGGCAAAGCAGCAUAAAAAUGUAAAUGAAGAAGAUGCCAUGUGUGACUCUACCCUAUGCCAAGAUUUACAUUAGUCUACCCUAUGAUUUUAAAACUGCCUCGAUCACAAAGCUACCCUCCUUUGCAACAACAUCUGACUGUAUUUUCUGCACAUUUCUUUUGCAAAACGGUAAACACCAUGGAAAUGGUUU